rnacentral:rRNA from 1 species
UACGAAGGGGGCUAGCGUUGCUCGGAAUCACUGGGCGUAAAGCGCGCGUAGGCGGAUUGCUAAGUCAGGGGUGAAAUCCUGGAGCUCAACUCCAGAACUGCCUUUGAUACUGGCGAUCUCGAGUCCGGGAGAGGUGAGUGGAACUGCGAGUGUAGAGGUGAAAUUCGUAGAUAUUCGCAAGAACACCAGUGGCGAAGGCGGCUCACUGGCCCGGUACUGACGCUGAGGUGCGAAAGCGUGGGGAGCAAACAGG